ensembl:lncRNA novel transcript
UGCACGCUGCACUCCCUGACUCAGUGGAAUGGGCUCAUCAACAAGUACAUCAACUCCCAGCUCCGCUCCAUCACCCACAGCUUUGUGGGAAGGCCUUCUGAAGGGGCCCAGUUAGAGGACUACUUCCCCGACUCCGAGAACCCUGAAGUGGGGGGCCUCAUGGCGGUCCUGGCUGUGAUUGGAGGCAUCGAUGGUCGCCUGUGCCUGGGCGGCCAAAUUGUGCACGAUGAGUUUGGAGAAGACACCGUGACUGGCAUCACCCCGAAGGGCAAAAUCACCGUGCAGUUCUCUGACAUGCGGACGUGUCACAUUUGCCCAUUGAAUCAGCUGAAACCAGUAGGUGAACUUGUGCUCAGUUACUGUAUGAUAAGGGAAAUUGGCUUUACACUAGGACCCAGCACCAACAUUAGCACUUGAAAGAACUUGAUUCUGGUACUUCAAGUUUGCCUUCUAGGAAGCUGUGUGAGCUUGCGCUUCUGUGGUGAGCAGGGCCUGUCUCACAGGGCACCUAAAGCAGUGGUUCCUGUGUUUUUCAGCCUCAGAGACAUGAAGAGGGCUUUAGCAACCUAGAAGGUACCGUGCGUCUAUGAGGUAGUUCUAAUUAUUUUAAAAUGUGAAUUUAUGAAGUUUACUUUUUAUUGAACAACUCAAGUAUUAAAAAAACUUUUUUUUUAAGUUUUUUUUUUUCUUUUAUUAUUAUACUUUAAGUUUUAGGGUAAAUGUGCACAUUGUGCAGGUUAGUUACAUAUGUAUACAUGUGCCAUGCUGGUGCGCUGCACCCACUAACUUGUCAUCUAGCAUUAGGUAUAUCUCCCAGUGCUAUCCCUCCCCACUCCCCCCACCCCACAACAGUCCCCAGAGUGUGAUGUACCCCUUCCUGUGUCCAUGUGAUCUCAUUGUUCAAUUCCCACCUAUGAGUGAGAAUAUGCGGCGUUUGGUUUUUUGUUCUUGCGAUAGUUUACUGAGAAUGAUGAUUUCCAAUUUCAUCCAUGUCCCUACAAAGGACAUGAACUCAUCGUUUUUUAUGGCUGCAUAGUAUUCCAUGGUGUAUAUGUGCCACAUUUUCUUAAUCCAGUCUAUCAUUGUUGGACAUUUGGGUUGGUUCCAAGUCUUUGCUAUUGUGAAUAAUGCCGCAAUAAACAUACGUGUGCAUGUGUCUUUAUA